GGCUACGUAGCUCAGCUGGUAGAGCGCUUGUCACAUCCAGACAUGCCGUGUCUGUCGCUGGUUCGAAUCUAGCCGAAGCCU
rnacentral:tRNA from 1 species